UACGUAGGGACCAAGCGUUGUUCGGAUUUACUGGGCGUAAAGGGCGCGUAGGCGGCUUGACUAAGUCACUUGUGAAAUCUCCGGGACUUAACUCGGAACGGCCAAGUGAAACUGUCAUGCUAGAGUGCAGAAGGGGCGAAUCGGAAUUCUUGGUGUAGCGGUGAAAUGCGUAGAUAUCUGCAGGAACACCCGUGGCGAAAGCGGCCGCGCCGGACCACUACUGACGCUGAGGAACGAAAGCUAGGGGAGCAAACAGG
rnacentral:rRNA from 1 species